UACGUAGGGUGCAGGCGUUAUUCGGAAUUACUGGGCGUAAAGCGUGCGCAGGCGGUUUUGUAAGUCUGUCGUGAAAUCCCCCGGGCUCAACCUGGGAAUUGCGAUGGAGACUGCAAGGCUAGAAUCUGGCAGAGGGGGGUAGAAUUCCACGUGUAGCAGUGAAAUGCGUAGAGAUGUGGAGGAACACCGAUGGCGAAGGCAGCCCCCUGGGUCAAGAUUGACGCUCAUGCACGAAAGGCGUGGGGAGCAAACGAGGAU
rnacentral:rRNA from 1 species